UACGUAGGGCGCGAGCGUUGUCCGGAAUUAUUGGGCGUAAAGAGCUCGUAGGCGGUCUGUCGCGUCUGCUGUGAAAACUCAGGGCUUAACCCUGAGCUUGCAGUGGGUACGGGCAGACUAGAGUGCGGUAGGGGAGACUGGAAUUCCUGGUGUAGCGGUGAAAUGCGCAGAUAUCAGGAGGAACACCGGUGGCGAAGGCGGGUCUCUGGGCCGAUACUGACGCUGAGGAGCGAAAGCGUGGGGGGCGAACAGG
rnacentral:rRNA from 1 species